rnacentral:misc_RNA from 1 species
AAGUCGUAACAAGGUUUCCGUAGGUGAACCUGCGGAAGGAUCAUUAAUGAACUCCCCGUCUCUUGAGACGGGUGCAUUUCAAAACCGUGUCUACCUUACCUUUGUUGCUUUGGCGGGCCGCCUUCGGGCGUCGGCUCCGGCUGACUGCGCCCGCCAGAGGACCCCAACUCUUUUGUUUAGUGAUGUCUGAGUACUAUAUAAUAGUUAAAACUUUCAACAACGGAUCUCUUGGUUCUG